GAUGAACGCUGGCGGCGUGCCUAAUACAUGCAAGUCGAGCGAACGGACGAGAAGCUUGCUUCUCUGAUGUUAGCGGCGGACGGGUGAGUAACACGUGGAUAACCUACCUAUAAGACUGGGAUAACUUCGGGAAACCGGAGCUAAUACCGGAUAAUAUUUUGAACCGCAUGGUUCAAAAGUGAAAGACGGUCUUGCUGUCACUUAUAGAUGGAUCCGCGCUGCAUUAGCUAGUUGGUAAGGUAACGGCUUACCAAGGCAACGAUGCAUAGCCGACCUGAGAGGGUGAUCGGCCACACUGGAACUGAGACACGGUCCAGACUCCUACGGGAGGCAGCAGUAGGGAAUCUUCCGCAAUGGGCGAAAGCCUGACGGAGCAACGCCGCGUGAGUGAUGAAGGUCUUCGGAUCGUAAAACUCUGUUAUUAGGGAAGAACAUAUGUGUAAGUAACUGUGCACAUCUUGACGGUACCUAAUCAGAAAGCCACGGCUAACUACGUGCCAGCAGCCGCGGUAAUACGUAGGUGGCAAGCGUUAUCCGGAAUUAUUGGGCGUAAAGCGCGCGUAGGCGGUUUUUUAAGUCUGAUGUGAAAGCCCACGGCUCAACCGUGGAGGGUCAUUGGAAACUGGAAAACUUGAGUGCAGAAGAGGAAAGUGGAAUUCCAUGUGUAGCGGUGAAAUGCGCAGAGAUAUGGAGGAACACCAGUGGCGAAGGCGACUUUCUGGUCUGUAACUGACGCUGAUGUGCGAAAGCGUGGGGAGCGAACAGG
rnacentral:rRNA from 1 species